rnacentral:rRNA from 1 species
GGGUUGUGAGGUUAAGCGACUAAGCGUACACGGUGGAUGCCCUGGCAGUCAGAGGCGAUGAAGGACGUGCUAAUCUGCGAAAAGCGUCGGUAAGGUGAUAUGAACCGUUACAGCCGGCGAUGUCCGAAUGGGGAAACCCAGUGUGAUUCGUCACACUAUCGUUAACUGAAUACAUAGGUUAACGAGGCGAACCGGGGGAACUGAAACAUCUAAGUACCCCGAGGAAAAGAAAUCAACCGAGAUUCCCCCAGUAGCGGCGAGCGAACGGGGAGCAGCCCAGAGUCUGAAUCAGCUUGUGUGUUAGUGGAACGGUCUGGAAAGUCCGACGGUACAGGGUGAUAGUCCCGUACACCAAAAUGCACAGGUUGUGAACUCGAAGAGUAGGGCGGGACACGUGGUAUCCUGUCUGAAUAUGGGGGGACCAUCCUCCAAGGCUAAAUACUCCUGACUGACCGAUAGUGAACCAGUACCGUGAGGGAAAGGCGAAAAGAACCCCGGCGAGGGGAGUGAAAAAGAACCUGAAACCGUGUACGUACAAGCAGUGGGAGCACCUUCGGGUGUGACUGCGUACCUUUUGUAUAAUGGGUCAGCGACUUAUAUUCUGUAGCAAGGUUAACCGUAUAGGGGAGCCGCAGGGAAACCGAGUCUUAACUGGGCGUUAAGUUGCAGGGUAUAGACCCGAAACCCGGUGAUCUAGCCAUGGGCAGGUUGAAGGUUGGGUAACACUAACUGGAGGACCGAACCGACUAAUGUUGAAAAAUUAGCGGAUGACUUGUGGCUGGGGGUGAAAGGCCAAUCAAACCGGGAGAUAGCUGGUUCUCCCCGAAAGCUAUUUAGGUAGCGCCUCGUGAAUUCAUCUUCGGGGGUAGAGCACUGUUUCGGCUAGGGGGUCAUCCCGACUUACCAACCCGAUGCAAACUACGAAUACCGAAGAAUGUUAUCACGGGAGACACACGGCGGGUGCUAACGUCCGUCGUGAAGAGGGAAACAACCCAGACCGCCAGCUAAGGUCCCAAAGUCAUGGUUAAGUGGGAAACGAUGUGGGAAGGCACAGACAGCCAGGAUGUUGGCUUAGAAGCAGCCAUCAUUUAAAGAAAGCGUAAUAGCUCACUGGUCGAGUCGGCCUGCGCGGAAGAUGUAACGGGGCUAAACCAUGCACCGAAGCUGCGGCAGCGACACUAUGUGUUGUUGGGUAGGGGAGCGUUCUGUAAGCCUGCGAAGGUGACCUGUGAGGGUUGCUGGAGGUAUCAGAAGUGCGAAUGCUGACAUAAGUAACGAUAAAGCGGGUGAAAAGCCCGCUCGCCGGAAGACCAAGGGUUCCUGUCCAACGUUAAUCGGGGCAGGGUGAGUCGACCCCUAAGGCGAGGCCGAAAGGCGUAGUCGAUGGGAAACAGGUUAAUAUUCCUGUACUUGGUGUUACUGCGAAGGGGGGACGGAGAAGGCUAUGUUAGCCGGGCGACGGUUGUCCCGGUUUAAGCAUGUAGGCUGGUUGUCCAGGCAAAUCCGGAUAAUCAAGGCUGAGGUGUGAUGACGAGGCACUACGGUGCUGAAGUAACAAAUGCCCUGCUUCCAGGAAAAGCCUCUAAGCAUCAGGUAACAUUAAAUCGUACCCCAAACCGACACAGGUGGUCAGGUAGAGAAUACCAAGGCGCUUGAGAGAACUCGGGUGAAGGAACUAGGCAAAAUGGUGCCGUAACUUCGGGAGAAGGCACGCUGGUGUGUAGGUGAAGUCCCUGCGGAUGGAGCUGAGACCAGUCGAAGAUACCAGCUGGCUGCAACUGUUUAUUAAAAACACAGCACUGUGCAAACACGAAAGUGGACGUAUACGGUGUGACGCCUGCCCGGUGCCGGAAGGUUAAUUGAUGGGGUUAUCCGUAAGGAGAAGCUCUUGAUCGAAGCCCCGGUAAACGGCGGCCGUAACUAUAACGGUCCUAAGGUAGCGAAAUUCCUUGUCGGGUAAGUUCCGACCUGCACGAAUGGCGUAAUGAUGGCCAGGCUGUCUCCACCCGAGACUCAGUGAAAUUGAACUCGCUGUGAAGAUGCAGUGUACCCGCGGCAAGACGGAAAGACCCCGUGAACCUUUACUAUAGCUUGACACUGAACAUUGAGCCUUGAUGUGUAGGAUAGGUGGGAGGCUUUGAAGCGUGGACGCCAGUCUGCGUGGAGCCAACCUUGAAAUACCACCCUUUAAUGUUUGAUGUUCUAACGUUGGCCCCUGACCGGGGUUGCGGACAGUGUCUGGUGGGUAGUUUGACUGGGGCGGUCUCCUCCCAAAGCGUAACGGAGGAGCACGAAGGUUAGCUAAUCCUGGUCGGACAUCAGGAGGUUAGUGCAAUGGCAUAAGCUAGCUUGACUGCGAGCGUGACGGCGCGAGCAGGUGCGAAAGCAGGUCAUAGUGAUCCGGUGGUUCUGAAUGGAAGGGCCAUCGCUCAACGGAUAAAAGGUACUCCGGGGAUAACAGGCUGAUACCGCCCAAGAGUUCAUAUCGACGGCGGUGUUUGGCACCUCGAUGUCGGCUCAUCACAUCCUGGGGCUGAAGUAGGUCCCAAGGGUAUGGCUGUUCGCCAUUUAAAGUGGUACGCGAGCUGGGUUUAGAACGUCGUGAGACAGUUCGGUCCCUAUCUGCCGUGGGCGCUGGAGAAUUGAGGGGGGCUGCUCCUAGUACGAGAGGACCGGAGUGGACGCAUCACUGGUGUUCGGGUUGUCAUGCCAAUGGCACUGCCCGGUAGCUAAAUGCGGAAGAGAUAAGUGCUGAAAGCAUCUAAGCACGAAACUUGCCCCGAGAUGAGUUCUCCCUGAGACUUUAAGUCUCCUGAAGGAACGUUGAAGACGACGACGUUGAUAGGCCGGGUGUGUAAGCGCAGCGAUGCGUUGAGCUAACCGGUACUAAUGAACCGUGAGGCUUAACCUUACAACGCCGAAG